CAGUCGCCGCGGUAAUACGUAGGGUGCGAGCGUUAAUCGGAAUUACUGGGCGUAAAGGGCUCGCAGGCGGUUUCUUAAGUCUGAUGUGAAAGCCCCCGGCUCAACCGGGGAGGGUCAUUGGAAACUGGGAAACUUGAGUGCAGAAGAGGAGAGUGGAAUUCCACGUGUAGCGGUGAAAUGCGUAGAGAUGUGGAGGAACACCAGUGGCGAAGGCGACUCUCUGGUCUGUAACUGACGCUGAGGAGCGAAAGCGUGGGGAGCGAACAGGAUUAGAUACCCCUGUAGUCCCUGUCUCUUAUAC
rnacentral:rRNA from 1 species